GAAGCUAUGAUAACAGAAGACUUUGAUGUGUUACGGGCAGUGGACGUAACUUUUAAUGAAGUUAUGUCGUGAGCCUAUAUAAUAAACGAUUUCUCAUUCCACUGAGCUUC
rfam:Cucumis melo, WGS project CAJI01000000 data, contig: 33063